rnacentral:lncRNA from 1 species
AAAUAACCCAGCAUGUGUUCUGUCCAAUAUUUAAGCAGCACUGGGUUGCCAAAUAACCCAGACAUUUUUUAGAGUGCAGUUAUAUUGCAUGUACUGAAAUGUCUUAAAUAUAGUACAACAGAGGAAAGCUUAUUUUUUAACACAGAAGAAAAUUUUAUUUAAGCAAGUGUAAAAUAGAAAUUGUGAAUCCAGAAGGUGACCACAAAACACCCCAACAAUGUCAUAUGAAUGAACAGAAUAAAAUGUCCCGUAUCAUUCACUGCAGUGCAGCUCAAAUCAAUACGACAGUGCAAUUAACCUGACAGGACGGAUAUGUAGAAUCCGUUCCGCGUUUUCCAGCUCACUUACUGUGCUAACUGAGAUAUUCAAUUAAGGAUUCCUCUUCCCACUCUGAAGCGGCUCUCCAGGGCAGAUCUUCCGAGCGACCCACCCUGUGUUAGAAAUAGGAAAAUCCAAUAAUAACAACACUAGAAAAAAAAAAAAAAUAGAAAAAAUGAGGCAACUUUGAUCACGCAUGCUCCCUUGUCAUCCACCUUAUACACAACAUUUGUUCUAAGUUGGAAAGUCGCGGAAAAGCCAGGAAGUAACGUUACAGUAAGCCAAUCAGCUGAGGGGAAGCAUCUCGUGUUUAAAAUGCCUGUGAUAUCCAAGAGAAGGUGUAUCAGAUUCCAUGCGGUGCAGUUUGGACCUAUAAGGGGAUGUUUAAAGAAUAAAAGCCUAGGUGCGGCAGUGCAGGGAUUUCUGAAAAGAUGAAAGGCGUGCGGUUAUCAAGGAUUUUUAUCCUUCCUGCUGCUUGAAAUGAGACUGACAAACAACUGUAUUCUAAAACUACACAGUGAUAAAUGAAUGUACAUAGACAGCCUAUAGAUUUCAAAUAACUUCUGCCAAACAAGAUUGAAACAAAAUUUAAAGUAAAUUCAUUCAGCUGUGCAUUUUUUUGUUGUUGUCAUUAUUAACAAAAUCACCAGCUUUAGCUCUCUUAGCUACUGUAUUUGAAAAUGUACUUGCUCCUGAAAAAGUUUAAAAUAGAUUUAAAGGUGUUAUUUGUAUAUUUGUUUAUAAGAAUUAAAGCUGAUAAUUAAUGUAAUAUUAUUUGAUCAUUUAAAAUACUGCCCCACCUAACUGACUAUGACAUUUGUAGGUUAUUUUCCCAGUAUUUACUGUAGUUCUGCUGCACAAUUAAAAUAUUGCUAUGUUUGAGCAUCCCAAUAAGUCCCACACAGGAAAGUUAGCUUAACUAGUGGCGUGAGUUUUGGGCGGGGCAAUCUGUGUACUCACCAAUGACUGACAACAGCCUUUUUGACAACAUUCACUAUUUUUGCAAUUUAGUUUUUUUGGCACUGUAGUGACAAAGAAAAUUACACACUUAAUAUUUAAAGAGAUUGUAUGUGUAUGUAUGUUUUUCUUUCUUUAAACAAUUUUGGACCCCAUUGACCUUUUGUGUGGGCAAAAACACCACAACAUUUUCCAAAACAUCAUCUGUUGUGUUCCAUGGAAGAGCAAAAGUCAUACAGGUUUGGAAAAGCAUGAAGGCAUGAGAUAAAUGAUGAUAGGAAAUUCAGGUUUGGGUGAACUACAGUAUCUUUUUUAAGCUCAAAUUUAAAAUCACAGGAUAUCACAAUUGCUUGUUCUUAGGCAAAUUGUGAGUGUGUCAAGAUAUAAAACUGUAUGAAUUUGUGUCAUAGCUGACGUGGUUAGCCAGCGGUGGCAACAGGAAAAA